rnacentral:rRNA from 1 species
UACGAAGGGGGCUAGCGUUGCUCGGAAUUACUGGGCGUAAAGGGAGCGUAGGCGGACAGUUUAGUCAGAGGUGAAAGCCCAGGGCUCAACCUUGGAAUUGCCUUUGAUACUGGCUGUCUUGAGUGCGGGAGAGGUGUGUGGAACUCCGAGUGUAGAGGUGAAAUUCGUAGAUAUUCGCAAGAACACCAGUGGCGAAGGCGGCUCACUGGCCCGAUACUGACGCUGAGGCACGAAAGCGUGGGGAGCAAGCAGG